ACGGAUUUUACUCGUCUUUUUUUCUCCUUCCUUUGAAUCCCCGCUUUCAUUUCUACCUGUAGGUUUGUCUCUCCUACAGUUCUUUUAUCUCCCCUCCUAUCCCUAAUCUGUUUUAUCCUCAGAACCAUUUUUUAUUUCCAGCUCCAACAGAGUUCCUUUAUGUUCUGACUCACAUUUAACCAAUUUCUUACAAUGCUUCUGCCCUCCUCCUGCUGCAGUCUCUGGCUGUGUUUUUCAGCUGCCUUUCUCUGCCGCUGGUGUAUUAUGAGCUUGCUGUGUAUGGUCACCAACCCCUUAAAACUGUUCAAACCCUUUUAAAGUAAACUCCAGACUUUUCUCCAAACUGUUUGAGGACUUCCUGUACAAAUCCCCAUCGCAAGAACAAAAUCAAGCUCCUGAAAUGUCCCCGAGAAGUAGCAGCAGGCUACUGAUCUCUAAUCAACAAAUUUUGAACAAACUUUCCUGCUGUCAACAUUCGCAGCACAACCAAGUGAUGGUGGCAUGUACAUAAAGGAAUAUCCUCUCUUGAUAAAGCCCACUGCUGUGACUAAAGACUAAAUUUUUUGUUAUUUUUUUCUUCAUGUCUUGCUAAGUAUGCCUGUUGUCGAAGUGAAUUGACUUCCUGAAACUAUACUCGUAAUUUAAGGAAAUAUGUACCAAAUUCAACCAAUUUUAUUAUGGAAAAUAACUGCAGUCAGGCAGGCUAAACCUUUUCCAUCUGUUGUGUUUGAUAGCCACAGUAGUGUGUAAAAUCCCAAAGCCUGUUCCUCCUCAGUUCUCCCGCUUGCCUUCAGGGGCCAACUCUUUACCUAAAACCCAUUAUCUUGUAAAUGGAGGGCCAAAUUUCUGGCGUCAUUAUGGAAACCAACCUCCUUGUUUUUCUCCCUGUUUAAUAUAAUCAUCAUUAUUAAUCAUUUGUUUUUUUUAUAGAGCCUUGCAAAUGUAUUCAUACCCCAUGAUGUUUAUCUCAUUUUGUCAUGUUUCAAUCAGAAACUGCAACAUAUUUUACAGAGAUUUUAUGUGAUAGACUAGCAAAGUCACAUACUUUGUUCACGUGAGAGGAAAAGGACAAAUGAUUAUCAUUUAUUUAGAACAAGAAACUCUGAAAAGAGCACUAUAUGUACUGUGCUCUGAGGCUUUGACUCUAAAGGCACUUUAGAAAAAAAAUCCAGGGUCAUGUCAAGGAGUUCUACUUGAUUUUAUUCAACAAAAUUUAAGGUGAUGACAACAUGGUGCUUUGGGGGUGUUUUUCUUUAGUCAAAACAGAGAACCUGAUCAGAGCGGAGGUUUGCAUCCCAGCUGGAUGAAACAAAUAUACAACUAGAGCUACAGUACAAUGCAAUGCUUUUCAGGUUAGCUUUAGACCAGUCAAAGUCUAGACCAAAAACAAAUAGCGAAUAUGUGGCAAGACUUAAAAAUGUUAUUUUAACAGAUGCUCUGCAAACCAUUUUACUGAGCUAGAGUUAAUUUCCAAAGAGGAAUGGUCAACAAAAUGUCUGUAGUUUAAAGUUAGUAGAGGCGUACCAGAAUAAAACUGUAACUGCAUUGUAAGUGUGGUUUAUUCACAUAAUGAUUGAAGGGAGCAGAAUCUAAAUACACGCCACAUUUCAUGAGCUUUUAUUUAUUUUACACAUUAAAUGCAAUACAAUACACAAAUGUUUGUUGUUUUAGAAUGACAAAAUGUAAAA